rnacentral:rRNA from 1 species
CCUACGGGAGGCAGCAGUGGGGAAUAUUGCACAAUGGGGGAAACCCUGAUGCAGCGACGCCGCGUGAGUGAAGAAGUAAUUCGUUAUGUAAAGCUCUAUCAGCAGGGAAGAAAAUGACGGUACCUGAGUAAGAAGCCCCGGCUAACUACGUGCCAGCAGCCGCGGUAAUACAUAGGGGGCAAGCGUUAUCCGGAUUUACUGGGUGUAAAGGGGGCGUAGACGGCAGUGAAAGUCUGGAGUGAAAGGCGGGGGCUCAACCCCCGGACUGCGUUGGAAACUGUCCGGCUGGAGUGCAGGAGAGGUAAGGGGAAUUCAUGGUGUAGCGGUGAAAUGCGUAGAGAUUAGGAGGAACACCAGUGGCGAAGGCGGCUUACUGGACUGUAACUGACGUUGAGGCUCGAAAGCGUGGGGAGCAAACAGGAUUAGAUACCCCAGUAGUC